rnacentral:piRNA from 1 species
UUGCGUUUGUUAAAAAAACAU